GCCGCAGUGGCUUAGGGGUAGAGCGGCGCCUUGGUAACCGCCCAGAAGGACGGCCAUACAGGCGCAGGUCGGGGGUUCAAUUCCCCCCUGCGGCU
rnacentral:tRNA from 1 species